CACUUCCCUCCCAGCCUGUUCCAGCUCUGUGUUCACACACUUACAAAAGGCUUCAGGCAACAACUGCUAUCUCAAGUUAAGGUCAAUCAAUACAGCUGAUGUGCUGAUGUUUAAUUAUAGGUAGCUGACGGUGUCCUCUGGCACGGGUUAACCUUGUUAAAUAUAUGGUUUAAAAAUAUCCCUUCAAAAUUAAUUUUCUGCUUGUUUUUAGACACCCUGUGUGAGCUGGUUCUUCCAUGACCUUGAUGGGAUGGGCAGUGGCAGCUAAAACCCUGCUUUACUUUGUCAACACUGAGAUUCACUCCUACAUUAUAAAACAAGUUCAGGGGUUGUCACUAUCUUCCGAGCCAGUGCAUCUGAUCUCUCCUGACAAAGGGGCAUGAGAUGGUUGUAUUCAUCUCAUGAAUACCCUGUUAGAGGUUUUUCAGCAGACACAGUCUGGGCUGUUUGCUUCUAUUCAACACACGUUUCAGUCAUGAGGGAGAACAGCUGUACUUAUAAGAGCUUUUAAGAAACCACUGAAUUCACUAGGACACCAGUUACUAUUGUAGUAGGUCAGUGUGUCUCCAGCUGUACCCUGAUUUCCAGUAAUAGACCUAAUCUUCUAAAUCAAUAUGUGAUUGCAGCUGGGAUGCCUCCACCAUUAUACCAGGUGCUGGCUGCCCUUGGAUGGCUCCUAGCACCACCGUCCCGCAGAGAGCGGCUUCUCCAAGGCCCAGCACAGC